rnacentral:rRNA from 1 species
GCUUAACGCGAAGAACCUUACCCACCUUUGACAUGUACGGAACUUGCCAGAGAUGGCUUGGUGCCCGAAAGGGAGCCGUAACACAGGUGCUGCAUGGCUGUCGUCAGCUCGUGUCGUGAGAUGUUGGGUUAAGUCCCGCAACGAGCGCAACCCUUGCCAUUAGUUGCUACGAAAGGGCACUCUAAUGGGACUGCCGGUGACAAACCGGAGGAAGGUGGGGAUGACGUCAAGUCCUCAUGGCCCUUAUAGGGUGGGGCUACACACGUCACACAAUGGCUGGUACAGAGGGUUGCCAACCCGCGAGGGGGAGCUAAUCCCACAAAGCCAGUCGUAGUCCGGAUCGCAGUCUGCAACUCGACUGCGUGAAGUCGGAAUCGCUAGUAAUCGCGGAUCAGAAUGUCGCGGUGAAUACGUUCCCGGGUCUUGUACACACCG